AACGCGAAGAACCUUACCUGGGCUCGAAAUGUAGUGGACCGGGGUAGAAAUAUCCCUUCCCCGCAAGGGGCCGCUAUAUAGGUGCUGCAUGGCUGUCGUCAGCUCGUGUCGUGAGAUGUUGGGUUAAGUCCCGCAACGAGCGCAACCCUUAUCCUAUGUUGCCAGCGCGUAAUGGCGGGGACUCGUAGGAGACUGCCGGGGUCAACUCGGAGGAAGGUGGGGACGAGGUCAAGUCAUCAUGCCCCUUAUGCCCAGGGCUGCACACAUGCUACAAUGGCCGGUACAGAGGGCUGCUAAUCCGCGAGGAGGAGCCAAUCCCAAAAAGCCGGUCUCAGUUCGGAUCGUAGUCUGCAACUCGACUGCGUGAAGCCGGAGUCGCUAGUAAUCCCGGAUCAGCAACGCCGGGGUGAAUACGUUCCCGGGCCUUGUACACACCGACUGUAC
rnacentral:rRNA from 1 species